GGAAGGUUUUUCUUUUGGAGAUUGCUCCUUGUGGAGUUUUCUUGUGAGCCUACAGCACUGGUAAACCACUCUCCCUGAAACUCAGCAAACCAGAAAGGAUUAUAAAUGUUCUAAGGACCACAAGAUCUGUGCAAGUCAAACAUUAUAAAAGUGAAUGUGCUUUUGAAAACUCAUUGUGUCUGCUUUUCUAGGAAGGAUUUUCUGGCUAGUUCAAGCCUCUUGAUUUUUCAAUGUCUGCAAACUGCAAGGCUCAUCUCCUUACUCUCAGUGGCUGUUGCUAUUUUGGUUUUCUAAUGAAAUCAACAUUCUUGCAACUUGAUCUGGAACAUUUACAGGAGAUAGAGUCAGUGUCCUGAGAAAACUGCUGUGAUGUUUCAGUUGGGGAAUUUCAAUUAUCAUUUCCAAUUAGUUUAGUACUGCCUAAAAUGCAUGAAAGUGGAAGACUGCAUUGCUUGUUCUUAAAGAAAAGAACCCAAGACUUGACUAUCCUGCUGUAACUGCUACAUAACAAGCUGUAACAUAAAAACACAGGUGAGAACUCCUCAUUAUAACCUGAUGAAUAAUGUAUGAUAUGUAAAGCACUGUGAAUAAACAUUAAGCCAUUGCUGACAGUCUGAGAAAGGACAGCAGAAAGUUAUGCGAUCCUUUCCAUGUUUGCUUGAUUAAAGUAUGAAAUUUCUGAAACUUAGAUACAUUUCACUUUUACAUUCAAAAGCAUCUGAAGUAGCGUUACUUCCAUUGGCUUUCAUGUUAUAUCUCCUGCUGAUGUAUAAAAUUUCUGUGUUAGUGGAGUCUUGCUGGAGAAGAGUACUCAAGUGUAUGAUCAUUUAAAAAAAGGAAACUGUAUCUGAGCAAGAAGCUGACAAACACUUCAUAGAAAACUAUUUGAUUAAUUUUCUCUGCUCUCUCAUUGGAAAACAUUGGAUGAGUUUACAAAGUCUGUCUUUUCCUUUUGCCUAGUAAAUAACUCACUUUUCUGCCAGUUCUAGCAACCAUUCAACACAACUCCUGCUGUUAUUAGUGAAGUCAUUUCUGUUCCAUACAAUUGAUUGUCUAUGGCAUCUUCAUAUAAUUUUAUUCCCUGUCUCUUCUGUGUUGAUCUGAUGAGCAGGAUUAAGUUGUUUUCUACUUGUUAGUACUGAGAAAUACUCCUAAGUGCUGAAUGAAUCUACUGUAUAAGAAAAAUAGCUUAUCAGAAUUAGUGAGAAAGCACUUGAGAUGCCGAUGCUUUAUCCAUACUCAUCUUCACUGUGCUUCUGCCUUAUACCACUCUUAAUGCAGGAGUAAGAAAUCUACUACCAGAGCAUGGAAAAGUCAUAUAAGUACUAAACAGCAGUAAAGGAAAUAGAUUAUUAUCUGUAAAAAAAAAUAAAAAUAAAAAAAUCAGCAUUUC
ensembl:lncRNA